rnacentral:lncRNA from 1 species
AGACAUGUAAUUAGUAUCACAGAAUUGUCUUUCAGGAGCUUAGAAUUCCUAUGACCUUAUUGGAGCAGGGGGUGGGAAACUACAAGGAAACUGACAUGAAGAUACAUAAUAACAGGAAGUAGGAGUAGCAAAAGGAAAAGGAGGAGGAGAAAGAGAAGGAAAGUAAAAGGAAACAGGCCAAUAUCCCCAGCUGCCCCCAACCCCUGCCCACCCUGGGAACACUCAUUUCACGGUCUCUGCUGUUUCUGCCCUCUGCUCCAGCAUCAACCCCCAGCUCCGUAUCUGUUGAAAAAUCAGAAGAUUCAGCAAUACUAGGCGCACCACCCCUGAUGAAAAAAUCCUCCUGGAUCCAGGAUGAAGCAAACUGCUUCACGAGAAGCCCUAGAGAAGAACACACAGCACCUUGAAACAUCUUUGGUGUGUUUGCCCUGUGCUGAGGCCUUUGCAAUGAGAGCGGCAUCUCUCUGGUUCCUGGAUAGCUCACUCUGGAGUGCUGCAUCCCUGUAUGUCGAGAGAAGGAUAGAGCUAGGAUUUCACAAAGGGCCUCAGAAACCAAACUUCAAAUGGACAUCAUGGCUUCCUAAUUGCUUUCUUCGCUGCUACCCACAGAGCUGUUUCUGGCACCUGAAUAACUGGCUUCCACCAGAUACUCCAUUGGAAGGUAUUAAAGAUUUUCCACUUAAAGUUUUCUCAAAGCUGUGAAUUGUCACAUCACCCCACCCUUCCUCCUGCACAGGAUGCCACAGAGCUGGGUCUACAGAGGACAUGACUUGGUUUCCAUCAGCUGUGGCAGGGUUUCACUGUCAUUUGAAAUGACUAACUAGAUUGUGACUCUCUUGGGGGUCUUGGAAGGACAGAAAGCUGUGAUUAAAUGCAAGAGACUUCAAGCCUUUUCUGUCUUCCUAGGGGCAGGUAGUAUCUAACCAAAUUUGGAGUAUGGGGUUGGUAGCUUCAUGCUUGAAUUAUAGGUUCUAAUCCUAGAAGAUUGAUUUAUGUCCCAAUGAUAUAAGAUUUAUGCCAGAAAUAGAGCCCCCCCGCCGCACCAUAUGUAUACAUGUAUAUUUUUCUGCUGUUUCCCAGCUUUUGGAGUAUUUCAGAAAUGUAAGCCAUAAGAUACUGUGAAUGUGUCCUACUCAGUGUGCAUAGCAUGGGAAUACCAGCAGGGCUGCAUUUUUCUUAACAGUGUAUGAGAUUCUAGAUUCAUGUCUUUCCCAGGUUAUUCUCUUCUUGCAAGUCUCUUCCCCUUCCCCACUCUUCGGUCACAGGGUUUCUGUCCUACAACUCACCGACGAGAGCGAAAAAACUCAGCACCUCACACACACACAUUUGCUUGAUAAGAAAUUGGAGGAGGUUGAAUUGCCACAGUGAACGAAGGCCUCGGG